GGAGAUGGAACCUCAGUGGGAGUGGAAGGAAAGAUUUCCAUGAGAAGAUGGAGCCCAAAGAAGGAGUGGAAGGAAAGGUUUCCACGAGGAACCUCACAGAAGUGGAAGGAAAGGUUCCCAUGAGGAAAUGGAACCUCAGCAGGGCUGGAUGGAAAGGUUCCCAUGGGGAAAUGGAACCUCAGCAGGGCUGGAUGGAAAGGUUCCCAUGAGGAGCCUCACAGAAGUGGAAGGAAA